rnacentral:tRNA from 1 species
GCCUCGCACGCUUCAACGGUGAAGCAGCCGGCUUUUAACCGGUAUACGCAGGGUUCGAUCCCCUGGCGGGGCAC